AAAACAGCUUCGCAUACGUGGUUGGUGACGCCAUUAGAGUGAGGUCACUGCUUUUAGGGUGGUUGGUUGCGCUUGGUUGCUGACGUUAUCGGUUCCAGUUUUGGGAACUUGGUGCAUCGGAUCGACGAAGGCGCACCGAAAGGCAACUUAUACGCCGACGUGUUGGACGUUUAUUCACAGGCACACGUGAAUAAUUGAAGCGCCGGAGCCAUAAUCAUGCUUUGUCCUUACCUUGUCGGCACAUUCCUUUGGGGAUGGUUUUGCGCAAGUCACUGUAAGCUGCCGGAACCAAACAAAGGUAUUGUCAAAGACGGAAAGACGUACAAUUCCUCUGUUCCGUGUUUACAAUACGUAUGCCACAAAGGUGUCCUCACGACAAAUGAGUGCCUCGGAGCGAAAGUCGGUGAUUGCAAACUACCGAAUUCUACCAAAAGGCUCCCUUAUCCAGCUUGCUGCGGUCAAAUGAUUUGUACAUGACAAUCAAUUUCAGAGUAAAUCAAUUUCGAGAGUUGUC